AUAAUAUACUUAUUUGUACUCAUAAUUUACAAAAUUUUAUUCUUAGUAAUUGUUAUGUAAUUUGUUUUUUUAUUAGUAAUUGUAGUUAUAAUACUUUGUUAAAUUCUUAAAUCUAACCUAUAAUCUUUUAACAGAACUGAGUUUUUUAAUUGAUAGUGGAAAAUACAAAAAUAUAUUCUACACAAAUGAGCCUCGUGGGUUAAAGUUGGGUUUGCAUGUAUUACGGUCCAAUAAACUAAUAUUUGACUUUGUAACCAUUCCGUUUAAACAAAAAAUAACAAAAUGUAAACCUUUUUUUAAAAAAAUUCUCUUGAUAUUUUUUUCUGGAACUCUCCCGACGAUUCCAUUCAAGGGAGAAACAGAGGUGCGAUGGGUCAAAAUUUCAUAUCCUACAAAACAAUAACGAUCUCGAAGCAAGAGAUUGAAAUCUGUUUGCCAGCCAUUACAAUCUGAGGUACUGUUGAUUUCGAUUUGUCUCCUUUUUCUCCUAAUAUUUUUAGUUUUUCAGUUCGGUACAUGCAGAAGACCAAGAGGACGAUCUGGUUGAACAUGAAAAGUAUUUUGAUGCACGAUUUUGAUUCAUGAUACUAUACUCUGAAACAUAUAGGAGUGGGGAAAGUCAAUCACUUAUCACGCUGAACUCCAGCUGGUUGUUGUUUUCCAUUGGCAUAACCUCAUUACCUUGAAUCAUUGAGUCAGGUUAAAGUCCUGGAUGUUUCACCAUGCACCAACCGGAAGUAGCCUUUUCUCAAUUCGUUGCAGAUUGUUGAGUGUCUUCUUCAGCAGGAAAUUCAGCAACAUCUGAUCGGCAUUCUUUACGAAGGAAGUUAUGCAACGCUGCACAUGCUAAUACUAAUCCAGCUUGUUUUUUGUAAGAAAAAGGAGGUGCAGAUUUAAAGAUCGCAAACCUCGAUUUAAACAUUCCAAAUAUCCUUUCGAUCACAUUUCUCAAACUAGCAUGACGAAGAUUGAAUAAUUCGGAUGCAGUGCUAGGAUCACGUCCUUGGCCAGUCCAUUCUUGUAGAUGGUAUCGAACACCACGAAAUGGAGCCAAAAAAUUGACUCGAUUUGCAAAGCCACAAUCAACUAGAUAGAAUUUACCUAAAAUGUAUAAAAGAUAAAUAUUAAUAAUGGUUAGACAUUCUCUGUAUGAAUCUCAUCUUCUUUUUCUUGAAAA